UGCCAGCCGCCGCGGUAAUACGGAGGGUGCGAGCGUUAAUCGGAAUUACUGGGCGUAAGGAGCUCGUAGGCGGUUUGGUAAGUCGGGUGUGAAAACUCAGGGCUCAACUCUGAGACGCCACCCGAUACUGCCAUGACUUGAGUACGGUAGAGGAGUGUGGAAUUCCUGGUGUAGCGGUGAAAUGCGCAGAUAUCAGGAGGAACACCAGUAGCGAAGGCGGCACUCUGGGCCGAUACUGACGCUGAGGAGCGAAAGCAUGGGGAGCGAACAGGAUUAGAUA
rnacentral:rRNA from 1 species